rnacentral:pre_miRNA from 1 species
UGAUAUGAGAGGUAUUGGCGUGUCUCAAUCUGAAGACAUGGUUGGAUGUUGAAACAGCCAUGUAAUUGGAUUGAGCCGCGUCAAUAUCUCUCUUCUUCAC